CACGUAGGCACCAAGCGUUGUCCGGAUUUAUUGGGCGUAAAGAGCUCGUAGGCGGUUCAGUAAGUCAGGUGUGAAAUCUUUGGGCUUAACCCAAAGCGUGCACUUGAUACUGCUGUGACUUGAGUUCGGUAGGGGAGUGGGGAAUUCCUAGUGUAGCGGUGAAAUGCGCAGAUAUUAGGAGGAACACCGGUGGCGAAGGCGCCACUCUGGGCCGAAACUGACGCUAAGGAGCGAAAGCGUGGGUAGCAAACAGG
rnacentral:rRNA from 1 species